rnacentral:rRNA from 1 species
CCCUUUGAUACUCUGGGCGGCACGCGCGCUACACUGGUUUAUAUAACGUGUAAUUUGGACGAUAGUCUGUAUAAAUCACUAAUAUAAAACCGUGAAUGGGAUAGUUUAUUGCAACUUACAAACUUUAACUAGGAAUCCCUUGUAGAAGUAGCGAAUUAUACUGCUUCGAAUACGUCCCUGCCGAUUGUACACACCGCCCGUCGUUUCUUCCGACUGGUACUCAUUGUGAAUUGCGAGGAGAUUCUGUCAAAUCGUUGUAAAUGCUGGGUAUUGGAGGAAGAAAAAGUCGUAACA